UACGUAGGGUGCGAGCGUUGUCCGGAUUUAUUGGGCGUAAAGAGCUCGUAGGCGGUCUGUCGCGUCGGCUGUGAAAACCCGGAGCUCAACUCCGGGCCUGCAGUCGAUACGGGCAGACUGGAGUUCGGCAGGGGAGACUGGAAUUCCUGGUGUAGCGGUGAAAUGCGCAGAUAUCGGGAAGAACACCCGUGGCGAAGGCGGCUACUCUGGGACGGUACUGACGCUGAGACGCGAAAGCGUGGGGAGCGAACAGG
rnacentral:rRNA from 1 species